AAUUUCAUUAUAGGCCUAUUAAGGUUUUUUAAAAUAACUUAAUUUGAACUUGUUUACAAAGUUCAAGCUUAGAAUAUAUAUAUAUACAUAUUCAUAAAUAUAACGUUUAGAAUAAUUAUAAUAUAGUAAAAUAAAAAAAUCUGUCAUAACUGAUUUUGAAGAAUAAUAGUCUUUAAAAAAAUUGUUAUAAAAAGUACUGAGAAGAAAAAGGUUAUUGUCUAUGAAAAGAAAUUAAAAGGAAAAUAUAAAAUUUUUUAACUAUAGUUUUUUUUGUAUCAUAAUUUAUAAAGAUAAAAUAUGGUUUUAGAAUCCCGAAAAUUUUGGAGCUACUUACUCUAUAACGUUUGUUUCAAAAAAUUUAAAAAGGAAUAAGUAGGGGUUAUAUGCCUUUCGAUAAAGUUGAUAGCUGGUUAAGAGAAAAAUAUAUUAGAGUAUAGAGGUAAUUUAACUUAAAUAUUAUUUAAGGUUGGUUAUUAUUGAGACUUCAGGGGAUAAGCUCUGAAGUAAAAACUAAAAAAAAAAGAAAAAGUAGAGUUUAUAUUUCUCAUCUUAUAAAAGGUUAAUAAUAAAAUAAACAAUAAAUUAAAUGUGAGAGUUAUCUCUUAAUUAAUAAGAACUUAAUAUUAAAUUAUAAGUAUAAAAUGAGUAGUUGAAAUAGUAAAGUUAGGUGAAUAUCUGGAAAUUAUUUAUAGUAAAAUUUAUAAAAAAUUACACUUUUAAAAGGAACUCGACAAAAAGAGUCUGUGCCUGUUUAACAAAAACAUGGCUUUUUGGUUUUAAGAAUAAGAAGUCGGGCCUGCCCAGUGAGAAAUAUUAAACGGCUGCAGCGAGAGCUGUACUAAGGUAGCGCGAUAAUUUGUCUUUUAAUUGGAGAAUGGUAUGAAAGGUUUGUCGCGGAUUGGUUGUCUCUUAAAAGUUUAGUGAAGUUUCCUUUUUAGUGAAAAGGCUAAAAAUUAUACAAAAGACGAGAAGACCCUGUCGAGCUUGAUUAGCUUAAAUCUAUUAAUGAGUCUAAGUAAAUGUUAGUUGGGGAAAACUGGGCUUCAUAAAAUAAGCUCACUAAAGCGGAGAUCCUUUUUUAGAGAAAACUGGUAUAAGUUACCGCAGGGAUAACAGCGUUAUUUUCUUUGAGAGAUCUUAUUGAGGAGAAAGUUUGCGACCUCGAUGUUGGAUUAGAAUUACUGUUUGGUGCAGCAGCUAAAAAAAGUGGGACUGUUCGUCCUUUAAAUUUUUACAUGAUCUGAGUUAAAACCGGCGUGAGCUAGGUUGGUUUCUAUCUUUGAAAAAUAUAUUUAUUGUACGAAAGGAUCCAAGUAUAAAAUAAUUAUUUUACUACCUGAUGAGAUUAGGUUAUAAUUAUUAGUUAUGAAAAAUAUAAAUA
rnacentral:rRNA from 1 species